CCUACGGGUCGCAGCAGUGGGGAAUAUUGCACAAUGGGCGCAAGCCUGAUGUAGCCAUGCCGCGUGUGUGAAGAAGGCCUUCGGGUUGUAAAGCACUUUCAGCGAGGAGGAAGGCGGUGAGGUUAAUAACCUCAUCGAUUGACGUUACCCGCAGAAGAAGCACCGGCUAACUCCGUGCCAGCAGCCGCGCUAAUACGGAGGGUGCAAGCGUUAAUCGGAAUUACUGGGCGUAAAGCGCACGCAGGCGGUCUGUUAAGUCGGAUGUGAAAUCCCCGGGCUCAACCUGGGAACUGCAUUCGAAACUGGCAGGCUAGAGUCUUGUAGAGGGGGGUAGAAUUCCAGGUGUAGCGGUGAAAUGCGUAGAGAUCUGGAGGAAUACCAGUGGCGAAGGCGGCCCCCUGGACAAAGACUGACGCUCAGGUGCGAAAGCGUGGGGAGCAAACAGGAUUAGAUACCCCUGUAGUC
rnacentral:rRNA from 1 species